rnacentral:rRNA from 1 species
GACGAACGCUGGCGGCGUGCCUAAUACAUGCAAGUUGAGCGCUGAAGGUUGGUACUUGUUCCAACUGGAUGAGCAGCGAACGGGUGAGUAACGCGUGGGGAAUCUGCCUUUGAGCGGGGGACAACAUUUGGAAACGAAUGCUAAUACCGCAUAAAAACUUUAAACACAAGUUUUAAGUUUGAAAGAUGCAAUUGCAUCACUCAAAGAUGAUCCCGCGUUGUAUUAGCUAGUUGGUGAGGUAAAGGCUCACCAAGGCGAUGAUACAUAGCCGACCUGAGAGGGUGAUCGGCCACAUUGGGACUGAGACACGGCCCAAACUCCUACGGGAGGCAGCAGGAGGGAAUCUUCGGCAAUGGACGAAAGUCUGACCGAGCAACGCCGCGUGAGGGAAGGAGGUUUUCGGAUCGUAAAACUCUGUUGGUAGAGAAGAACGUUGGUGAGAGUGGAAAGCGCAUCAAGUGACGGUAACUACCCAGAAAGGGACGGCUAACUACGUG